rnacentral:tRNA from 1 species
AGUUGAUAGGAUCCCCUUUGUUACGUCCCCAUGUCCCCCCGUGUGGCGGGGCGAGGUCUCUGGUUCAAGUCCAGGAUGGCC